ACUGAGUCUGGUGUGUGUUUGCACACUUUUGGUUGUGUCUUCAUUCGUUCUGUUUAAAGUAAAAAACUGGCCCACCACCUGCAAGCUGCCAGUUUCUGUGUCUUAUCACACGAGGAAGACAUCGACUCAAGUUGUUGACGAGUAUGUGAAAAUGAACUCUGUCGGCCUUAUAAACUCUCCCAUGACUCAAAGUGAUAAGGGUUCAGCGCUCGAGGACUUCCGC